ACUAUCAAUUUACGGAGCACGUAAUAAAUAUUUGCUGUAGUAUAUAUGAUUCAUUAUUAUGAUUAAUAAGUACGAUGUUAUGGGAUUAUCGUCUGGUAGCAGAUAGACAAUGAAGUAAUGAUGAAAUUUGUUUGAUAAUAAAUGAAAUCUUGAUAACGAAAAAAAAUUCGGUAUAAAUAGGCAGGAAAAAAAAUAAAUUUAUUGAGUCAAAUAAACGUCAGUUUGUCUGAGUGAACUUGUAAGUCUACCGGUGAUUUAAGUGAAGAAAAUUGAGUAUUCAAAAAUGUCCAAGUUGAUGAUUAUUUUAGUCGUUCUUUGUGUGAUUGUCGCUGUAAUUAUGCCGCAAAUUGUCGAUGGAGCACAAGGAAAAUGCAAAGGACCCGGUUUAUCAUGUAUGUCUAAUUGGGAAUGCUGUUCAAAACACUGUGCUAAAGUUACUGGGAAAGCUUUUGCUAAACCAUUCAAAUCUAUUUGUCGUUAACAAAAUUACAAUUACAAUAAUCUACAGUUUAUGUACCCAGCGAUGCAAUAAAUAGAUUUUAUCUAAAAAUCACAAAUUUCUUUUCCUACAAUUUCUUUUAAACUGUCAAAUUUUUUUAUUUGAAUACUCGGCGGUUUAAAUUU